UGCGUAGGCGGUUCGCUAAGUUGGAUGUGAAAACUAUGGGCUCAACCCAUAGCCUGCAUCCAAUACUGACGAACUAGAGUUCUGGAGGGGGUAGCGGAAUUCCUGGUGUAGCGGUGAAAUGCGUAGAUAUCAGGAGGAACACCGGUGGCGAAGGCGGCUACCUGGACAGAGUCUGACGCUGAGGCACGAAAGCUAGGGGAGCAAACAGGAUUAGAUACCCUGGUAGUCCUAGCCCUAAACGAUGGAUACUUGGUGUGACUGGGAUUGAAUCCAGUCGUGCCGAAGCUAACGCAUUAAGUAUCCCGCCUGGGGAGUACGGUCGCAAGGCUGAA
rnacentral:rRNA from 1 species